UACUAAUGAGGAAAUCCACACCUGUCUUAGCUCCUGUCCAGUUCCAGAGCCUGCAAAGGCGAACCCACUGGAAUUGGCAGGGGAGAGAGGAAGAUAAAAUGUUCCUGAGUGAACAGUCUGAUGUGC
rnacentral:snoRNA from 13 species